rnacentral:rRNA from 1 species
CAAGUCGGGCGAUAAGCACCUUUCGGGGUGUGGACAGCGGCGGACGGGUGAGUAUCGCGUGGGAACCUACCUAUCAGUACGGAACAACAGUUAGAAAUGACUGCUAAUACCGUAUACGCCCCGUUUUUGGGGAAAGAUUCAUCGCUGAUAGAUCGGGCCCGCGUUAGAUUAGCUAGAUGGUGAGGUAAUGGCUCACCAUGGCGACGAUCUAUAGCUUGGUUUGAGAGGAUGACCAGCCACACUGGGGCUGAGACACGGCCCAGACUCC